rnacentral:SRP_RNA from 1 species
UCGUGCUAGAUGGGGAGCUAGCGGUGCCCUGUACCCGCAAUCCGCUACAGCGGGAUUGAAUUCCUGCUCAAGGCUUUAGUUCUGGCAGUGUUGCCUUUGUUUAGCGGCGUUGAUAGUCGGGUCCUGCGCGGUAGAACGUUAUGAACCCCGUCAGAUCCGGAAGGAAGCAGCGGUAAGUAAAGGUUUCUGGGCGCCGCAGGAUAACCCGGUUUGAGCUGGCUUGCAUUGGUGGCCUGUUAAACGAGAGUCGACAGCAGGUGCACGG